ensembl:lncRNA HULC hepatocellular carcinoma up-regulated long non-coding RNA
AGCACUUCGGGAGGCCAAGAUGGGUGCAUCACCUGAGAUCAGGAGUUCCAGACCAGCCUGACCAACAAGAGUACUGAGCUGUCUCCGAAGAAUUCAGAUUAUUGAAUGUAGGCACCCUUUUCUGAUUUCCUUCAUCAAUUCAAUUCAGGAGAUGUGAUGCAAUGUGAUGUGUCAAUGUAUGUAUGAUCGAAGUGUCAGUCUCUAUAAGUACUCCGCUCCAUGAUCCUGGGGUGAAGUGCUACAAAACACAUUUUUGGUGGAGCAGAAAUAGUGCUGCCUUUCCUGUGCUUCCCACGGCUGUUGUAGAUAGAAAGCAAUGAAUUCAGAAUUCUCAAGUCGGCCAGGCCAUCUUCUCAGUGAGCUUUGCCUCAGGCACCCUAGAUAUUACCACAUGAGAGCUAUAUUUCAUCUGUUCUUAAAUUUUUGCAGCUAAAGGACCACAUUUGAGGGUCGAAAUCCCUGCCACAAAACCAACCUUACCACCUUCUACUACUCAUAAGAAAAAUCCAUCAGAAUUUACUGGAAUUUAUUGCAAGAAUGACCUUCCAUUUCAUGAGUUGA